UCUAAUUCAGUCUUUCGUCUCAGGGAACUGCUUAUUCUACUUUAAGACUUUAGGAGACAGGGGAAGAAGACAAUAGGAGACAGGGGAAGAAGACAAGGGCAGCAUGUGACAAGAGCAAAAAAUCAAUUUGAUGGACUAACAUAACAAAUCUUGUGUUCUCUGAAACAACGGGGCCAGCUUAACAGACUUCACAAGAUUGUCAUGAUGAACAUAUUCAGCAACUCACUGCUCAGGCAGUGUUUCAGGAAGCUUGUCCAGGCCAAUGGCAGUCCUGACAAAGUACAAAGUGAAGCUCUCGUCUCAAAGAAAAGACACAAAAUCCCCAGCAGCCCCAUCCCAGAGAGGAUAUGACAGCAGAGCUCCAGGGGGGACACAGCUCAUGAUAACAGUGGAUUUCUCUUGCUUCCCCUUGAUAUGAUAUCAUACCUUUUAUUUUUUCCAAUCAAAAUGUAGAUUAAAUUUCAUAAUGCACUGCAAAGUGUUU
rnacentral:lncRNA from 1 species